rnacentral:rRNA from 1 species
GACGAACGCUGGCGGCGUGCUUAACACAUGCAAGUCGAACGGAAAGGCCCUGCUUUUGUGGGGUGCUCGAGUGGCGAACGGGUGAGUAACACGUGAGUAACCUGCCCUUGACUUUGGGAUAACUUCAGGAAACUGGGGCUAAUACCGGAUAGGAGCUCCUGCUGCAUGGUGGGGGUUGGAAAGUUUCGGCGGUUGGGGAUGGACUCGCGGCUUAUCAGCUUGUUGGUGGGGUAGUGGCUUACCAAGGCUUUGACGGGUAGCCGGCCUGAGAGGGUGGCCGGCCACAUUGGGACUGGGGUACCGCCCAGACUCCUACGGGAGGCAGCAGUGGGGAAUAUUGCACAAUGGGCGGAAGCCUGAUGCAGCAACGCCGCGUGCGGGAUGACGGCCUUCGGGUUGUAAACCGCUUUCGCCUGUGACGAAGCGUGAGUGACGGUAAUGGGUAAAGAAGCACCGGCUAACUACGUG